rnacentral:misc_RNA from 1 species
GGAAGUAAAAGUCGUAACAAGGUCUCCGUAGGUGAACCUGCGGAGGGAUCAUUACAAGAACGCCCGGGCUUCGGCCUGGUUAUUCAUAACCCUUUGUUGUCCGACUCUGUUGCCUCCGGGGCGACCCUGCCUUCGGGCGGGGGCUCCGGGUGGACACUUCAAACUCUUGCGUAACUUUGCAGUCUGAGUAAACUUAAUUAAUAAAUUAAAACUUUUAACAACGGAUCUCUUGGUUCUGGCAUCGAUGAAGAACGCAGCGAAAUGCGAUAAGUAAUGUGAAUUGCAGAAUUCAGUGAAUCAUCGAAUCUUUGAACGCACAUUGCGCCCCCUGGUAUUCCGGGGGGCAUGCCUGUUCGAGCGUCAUUUCACCACUCAAGCCUCGCUUGGUAUUGGGCAACGCGGUCCGCCGCGUGCCUCAAAUCGUCCGGCUGGGUCUUCUGUCCCCUAAGCGUUGUGGAAACUAUUCGCUAAAGGGUGUUCGGGAGGCUACGCCGUAAAACAACCCCAUUUCUAGGUUGACCUCGGAUCAGGUAGGGAUACCCGCUGAACUUAAGCAUAUCAAUAAGCGGAGGA